UAAGCAUAUCAAUAAGCGGAGGAAGAGAAACUAACCAGGAUUCCCCUAGUAACGGCGAGCGAACCGGGAAGAACUAUUUGAGCCCACUUUGUAAAUCUGAAAAUAUUUGUAUUUUCCGAAUUGUAGUCUACACAGGUUGGUCUUUUUGACAGAAGUAGGUUGUCCAAGUGCCUUGGAAGAGGCCGCGCGACAGGGUGAGAGCCCCGUUGGACGAAUGUCCUUCUGUCAGAUGCACAGACCUCAUCCCUGUUCGAGUCGGGUUGUUUGGGAAUGCAGCCCUAAUGUGUCGGUGGUAAAUCCCAUCGAAGGCUAAAUACUGGCGGGAGACCGAUAGCGAACAAGUACCGUGAGGGAAAGAUGAAAAGAACUUUGAAAAGAGAGUCAAAAGUGCUUGAAAUUGUUGAGAGGGAAGCGAUCUGAGUUGGUGAGUGUUGGGUGGUGCAGAGAUUUGGGGUAUCUGGUUGCAGGAUUCAUUUCUGUGCCUCCCCAACCCUGCUGCACCCCCGGUCAGCAUCGGUUUCUGGAGGGGUAGAAACGCCAGGUUUUGGUUUGGAUUGUGGUUGUUUUUUCAGCUUCAGUCCAACGCCUGGCUCAUGCCUCUCUUGUUGAGACCGAGGAACAGUCACGGUGCCCCAGAAGAAUUCAUUCUUCCGCACCGGUUGAUGGAUGCUGGCUGACGCCGCUCAAUCGGCCCGUCUUGAAACACGGACCAAUCGA
rnacentral:rRNA from 1 species